GAUGAACGCUGGCGGCGUGCCUAAUACAUGCAAGUCGAGCGAACGGACGAGAAGCUUGCUUCUCUGAUGUUAGCGGCGGACGGGUGAGUAACACGUGGAUAACCUACCUAUAAGACUGGGAUAACUUCGGGAAACCGGAGCUAAUACCGGAUAAUAUUUUGAACCGCAUGGUUCAAAAGUGAAAGACGGUCUUGCUGUCACUUAUAGAUGGAUCCGCGCUGCAUUAGCUAGUUGGUAAGGUAACGGCUUACCAAGGCAACGAUGCAUAGCCGACCUGAGAGGGUGAUCGGCCACACGGGAACUGAGACACGGUCCAGACUCCUGCGGGAGGCAGCAGUAGGGAAUCUUCCGCAAUGGGCGAAAGCCUGACGGAGCAACGCCGCGUGAGUGAUGAAGGUCUUCGGAUCGUAAAACUCUGUUAUUAGGGAAGAACAUAUGUGUAAGUAACUGUGCACAUCUUGACGGUACCUAAUCAGAAAGCCACGGCUAACUACGUG
rnacentral:rRNA from 1 species